rnacentral:rRNA from 1 species
GACAGAGGCCCCGAGCGUUAGGCGGAAUCACUGGGCUUAAAGCGUGUGUAGGCGGGCCCGUAAGUGUCUUGUGAAAUCCCACGGCUCAACCGUGGAACUGCUGGGCAUACUGCGGGUCUUGGGCCAACUAGGGGCAGCCGGAACAAGCGGUGGGAGCGGAUGAAUGCGUAGAUAUCGCUUGGAACGCCAGAAGGUGAAAACAGGCUGCUGGGGUUGCGCCGACGCUGAGACACGAAAGCCAGGGGAGCAAACGGG